rnacentral:miRNA from 1 species
AACGUAUGUCGAGCAAACAU